GACGAAGGACCCAAGCGUUAUCCGGAUUCAUUGGGUUUAAAGGGUGCGUAGGCGGACUUGUAAGUCAGUGGUGAAAGCCCGAUGCUUAACAUCGGAACUGCCAUUGAUACUGCUAGUCUUGAGUACAUUUGAUGUGGGCGGAAUAUGACAUGUAGCGGUGAAAUGCUUAGAUAUGUCAUAGAACACCGAUUGCGAAGGCAGCUCACAAAACUGUAACUGACGCUGAGGCACGAAAGCGUGGGGAUCAAACAGG
rnacentral:rRNA from 1 species